UACAGAGGUCCCAAGCGUUGUUCGGAUUCAUUGGGCGUAAAGGGUGCGUAGGUGGCGCCGUAAGUGGGGUGUGAAAUUUCGGAGCUUAACUCCGAAACUGCAUUCCAUACUGCGGUGCUUGAGGACUGGAGAGGAGACUGGAAUUUACGGUGUAGCGGUGAAAUGCGUAGAUAUCGUAAGGAAGACCAGUGGCGAAGGCGGGUCUCUGGACAGUUCCUGACGCUGAGGCACGAAGGCAGGGGAGCAAACGGG
rnacentral:rRNA from 1 species